UACGUAGGGUGCAAGCGUUGUCCGGAAUUAUUGGGCGUAAAGAGCUCGUAGGCGGUUCGUCGCGUCGGCUGUGAAAACCCGAGGCUCAACCUCGGGCCUGCAGUCGAUACGGGCGGACUGGAGUUCGGGAGAGGGAUGCGGAAUUCCAGGUGUAGCGGUGAAAUGCGUAGAUAUCUGGAGGAACACCGGUGGCGAAGGCGGCAUCCUGGACCGACACUGACACUGAGGAGCGAAAGCCAGGGGAGCAAACGGG
rnacentral:rRNA from 1 species